GGCCUAUUAGCUUAGUUGGUUAGAGCAUCGUGUUAAUAACGCAAAGGUCGGAGGUUUGAGGCCUGCAUGGGCUA
rnacentral:tRNA from 1 species